CUACGGGCGGCUGCAGUGGGGAAUAUUGCACAAUGGGCGCAAGCCUGAUGCAGCCAUGCCGCGUGUAUGAAGAAGGCCUUCGUGUUGUAAAGUACUUUCAGCGGGGAGGAAGGGAGUAAAGUUAAUACCUUUGCUCAUUGACGUUACCCGCAGAAGAAGCACCGGCUAACUCCGUGCCAGCAGCCGCGGUAAUACGGAGGGUGCAAGCGUUAAUCGGAAUUACUGGGCGUAAAGCGCACGCAGGCGGUUUGUUAAGUCAGAUGUGAAAUCCCCGGGCUCAACCUGGGAACUGCAUCUGAUACUGGCAAGCUUGAGUCUCGUAGAGGGGGGUAGAAUUCCAGGUGUAGCGGUGAAAUGCGUAGAGAUCUGGAGGAACACCGGUGGCGAAGGCGGCCCCCUGGACGAAGACUGACGCUCAGGUGCGAAAGCGUGGGGAGCAAACAGGAUUAGAUACCCGCGUAGUC
rnacentral:rRNA from 1 species